CCUACGGGAGGCAGCAGUGAGGAAUAUUGGUCAAUGGACGCAAGUCUGAACCAGCCAUGCCGCGUGCAGGAAGACGGCUCUAUGAGUUGUAAACUGCUUUUGUACGAGGGUAAACGCAGAUACGCGUAUCUGUCUGAAAGUAUCGUACGAAUAAGGAUCGGCCAACUCCGGGCCAGCCGCCGCGGUAAUACGGAGGAUUCAAGCGUUAACCGGAUUUAUUGGGUGUAAAGGGUGCGUAGGCGGUCGGAUAAGUUAGAGGUGAAAUCCCGGGGCUCAACUUCGGAAUUGCCUCUGAUACUGUUCGGCGAGAGAGUAGUUGCGGUAGGCAGAAUGUAUGGUGUAGCGGUGAAAUGCUUAGAGAUCAUACGGAACACCGAUUGCGAAGGCAGCUUACCAAGCUACUUCUGACGUUGAGGCGCGAAAGCGUGGGGAGCAAACAGGAUUAGAUACCCCUGUAGUC
rnacentral:rRNA from 1 species